GAAUGAAUGAAUGAUCCGUCUGGAGA
rnacentral:piRNA from 1 species